rnacentral:piRNA from 1 species
UGAAGAAUUACUGCUUGGCUUUUCUGCUU